AUUUGAAGGACCCCUCGAAAGGAGUGUGCACUGGAAGUUAGAGGGAGGAAGCAGGAAAAAAAAUAAAUAUCAGGGAGACAUGGUCAGCGUGAAUCAUUUCAGGUUCUCGAUUGAGCCUGGGGUGAGAUCACGUUUCACUUCUACCCUCGAUGAAGCGUUCUCACACCCUUCAAACCCACGGGCACGGAGUCUAGUGGUUAGCAUGGAGUCAUCGGCACAUGUUUCAGCCAAAUUUACACGAGUUGAUGUUUUUUGGUGUUUUAAGGUAACCGCUGAUCAGAAGAACGGUUAUGCUUAAAGCAAAGAAACCACAGGUGCGGGCAGAUGGGCGGCUGGGGCGGUCCCCCGGAGGGGAGCUGCAGGGGGCGGGCCGGGAGGCUCCCUGGCAAAGCAACCGUAGCCCCUGGAGCCGCCUUCCACGGCUUCCUCCGGGGCUCGGCCGGCGGCGGGAGGAGGAGGUUGGGAAAUCCCCGUACGGCGGCGCUCCGACCGCUGCCCCUCCCCGCUCUUCCCGGGCUCGGCGGUGCCCGCACCGCGCUCGUUGGGCGGGGGAGGGGAAGUGUCUGUGCCCCGCAGAGGGUGAGGGCUGCGGUUCGGAAUCCCCCUCCCGGUCCCAAAGCCUCACUCCGUUCCUUCAAAGCACCCUGCUAAAUGCCAUCGCUGGGAGUACCCCGCUGAGCUGACGCCGCCGCAAGCGCCGAGACGCAGAGCCCACGGAGCACAGCUCCUUGCAGAUAUGGAAAGCUCGAGGCUACGACUGUGGGAAUUGAGGAGCUCUGUGUCCUCAUGUGUCUGUGUAUUGACCAGUUAUGUAAGGCUCUAUCUCUGCUUGGCAUCUCAGUACUGAAAGUCGUUACUGAUACUUAGAGGGAAAAAGCGAGAAAAAGAUUUAAUGGUAUUGGUAUUUGUAUGGGUAUUGGUACGGGUGUUUGGUAUUAACGCUAGUAUUUAGUUUCCCCACUUCUAUUCCCAUCGCCAUGGAGAGGACUGCUGCACUGCACCCCCAGCACUGUGUGCUGGCUGCAGUCUUAAGGCUGUUAGAAAUUUUCCAUCCAACAUGUAUACACUGGCUGGCUGUUGCCCUGCUACAGACAAUGUACCCGGUUAGGUACAGUGAUACUCCUUUCUCUGAAAUGACAAAUUUGAGAAGGAAGGACUCGUUUCCAUGAAUGGCUGUCCUGGUUAAUGCACACUGCAGCUUUUAUUCUGUUCCUGUAUUUCUAGGAUGGUGACAGUACAUAGAGUGGGAAACCAAUUACACUCAGAAAACUGAUUAAUGCACGUUGAAGCUUUGCAUGUAUACCAUGACUAGGAGAUACUACCAGGCAUGCCAGCAUAACAACUAAGGUGUUCUGGUUUCUCGGAUAAAGAUGUAUUUGUUACAAAGUUCAGAACUGCUAUGUGAAGAAAUCUCAUUAUCAGAUAAUACGCACAAUAAUAUCCCAUCCAGUUUUUACUUUUAGUGAAAGACCAUUAAGAUGAGACUGGAAACGCACAUCAUUUCUCUAAGCUUUGAAAACCCUCGCAGGGCUGUCCUGCAGAGCGCUGUGCAACUUGUGGAAGCGCCCCAAAUCACUGUCAUUUAACUGUGCGUUACUGGCUUAUGGCAUUCGCAUAGGACACGAGCUGCUCUGCGCUCUGUAGCUGAGGGCCUCCGCGGCAAGGUGUAUCCCAGCGCUCCCC
rnacentral:lncRNA from 1 species